rnacentral:rRNA from 1 species
AGGUAAGCUACUAAGAGCGAAUGGUGGAUGCCUUGACUGGUAAAGGCGAUGAAGGACGUACUAGACUGCGAUAAGCUACGGGGAGCUGUCAAGAAGCUUUGAUCCGUAGAUUUCCGAAUGGGGCAACCCAAUGUAUAGAGAUAUACAUUACCUAUAUAGGAGCGAACGAGGGGAAUUGAAACAUCUUAGUACCCUCAGGAAAAGAAAUCAAUAGAGAUUGCGUCAGUAGCGGCGAGCGAAAGCGCAAGAGGGCAAACCCAGUGCUUGCACUGGGGGUUGUAGGACUGCAAUGUGCAAGAGGUAAGUUUAGCAGAACAUUCUGGAAAGUAUAACCAUAGAGGGUGAUAGUCCCGUAUGCGAAAAACAAACCUUAGCUAGCAGUAUCCUGAGUAGGGCGGGACACGAGGAAUCCUGUCUGAAUCCGGGUCGACCACGAUCCAACCCUAAAUACUAAUACCAGAUCGAUAGUGCACAAGUACCGUGAGGGAAAGGUGAAAAGAACUGAGGUGAUCAGAGUGAAAUAGAACCUGAAACCAUUUGCUUACAAUCAUUCAGAGCCCUAUGUAGCAAUACAGGGUGAUGGACUGCCUUUUGCAUAAUGAGCCUGCGAGUUGUGGUGUCUGGCAAGGUUAAGCAAACGCGAAGCCGUAGCGAAAGCGAGUCUGAAUAGGGCGCUUAGUCAGAUGCUGCAGACCCGAAACGAAGUGAUCUAUCCAUGAGCAAGUUGAAGCUAGUGUAAGAACUAGUGGAGGACUGAACCCAUAGGCGUUGAAAAGCCCCGGGAUGACUUGUGGAUAGGGGUGAAAGGCCAAUCAAACUUCGUGAUAGCUGGUUCUCUCCGAAAUAUAUUUAGGUAUAGCGUUGUGUCGUAAUAUAAGGGGGUAGAGCACUGAAUGGGCUAGGGCAUACACCAAUGUACCAAACCCUAUCAAACUCCGAAUACCUUAUAUGUAAUCACAGCAGUCAGGCGGCGAGUGAUAAAAUCCGUCGUCAAGAGGGAAACAACCCAGACUACCAGCUAAGGUCCCUAAGUCUUACUUAAGUGGAAAACGAUGUGAAGUUACUUAAACAACCAGGAGGUUGGCUUAGAAGCAGCCAUCCUUUAAAGAAAGCGUAAUAGCUCACUGGUCUAGUGAUUUUGCGCGGAAAAUAUAACGGGGCUAAAGUAAGUACCGAAGCUGUAGACUUAGUUUACUAAGUGGUAGGAGAGCGUUCUAUUUGCGUCGAAGGUAUACCGGUAAGGAGUGCUGGAGCGAAUAGAAGUGAGCAUGCAGGCAUGAGUAGCGAUAAUUAAUGUGAGAAUCAUUAACGCCGUAAACCCAAGGUUUCCUACGCGAUGCUCGUCAUCGUAGGGUUAGUCGGGUCCUAAGUCGAGUCCGAAAGGGGUAGACGAUGGCAAAUUGGUUAAUAUUCCAAUACCAACAUUAGUGUGCGAUGGAAGGACGCUUAGGGCUAAGGGGGCUAGCGGAUGGAAGUGCUAGUCUAAGGUCGUAGGAGGUUAUACAGGCAAAUCCGUAUAACAAUACUCCGAGAACUGAAAGGCUUUUUGAAGUCUUCGGAUGGAUAGAAGAACCCCUGAUGCCGUCGAGCCAAGAAAAGUUUCUAAGUUUAGCUAAUGUUGCCCGUACCGUAAACCGACACAGGUGGGUGGGAUGAGUAUUCUAAGGCGCGUGGAAGAACUCUCUUUAAGGAACUCUGCAAAAUAGCACCGUAUCUUCGGUAUAAGGUGUGGUUAGCUUUGUAUUAGGAUUUACUCCGAAAGCAAGGAAACUUACAACAAAGAGUCCCUCCCGACUGUUUACCAAAAACACAGCACUCUGCUAACUCGUAAGAGGAUGUAUAGGGUGUGACGCCUGCCCGGUGCUCGAAGGUUAAUUGAUGGGGUUAGCAUUAGCGAAGCUCUUGAUCGAAGCCCGAGUAAACGGCGGCCGUAACUAUAACGGUCCUAAGGUAGCGAAAUUCCUUGUCGGUUAAAUACCGACCUGCAUGAAUGGCGUAACGAGAUGGGAGCUGUCUCAAAGAGGGAUCCAGUGAAAUUGUAGUGGAGGUGAAAAUUCCUCCUACCCGCGGCAAGACGGAAAGACCCCGUGGACCUUUACUACAGCUUGACACUGCUACUUGGAUAAGAAUGUGCAGGAUAGGUGGGAGGCUUUGAGUAUAUGACGCCAGUUGUAUA